rnacentral:rRNA from 1 species
CACUUUGACCCCUUUCUNAAAAUAGAAAGCGCGUGUCUUAGUUUCGCUUUGCUCAUACAAUUAGGUCCUGAAAGCAACGAACGUGACCGCAACCUCUUGUUGCCUUUAUACCAAACAUGUUUAUUCAUUUUUUAAUGUUCAUUCAUGAAAAAAGGCUUUUUAAACUAGAGGGACCGCUGUUACUUUCUUAAACCAGAGGAAGGUUGCGGCAAUAACAGGUCUGUGAUGCCCUUAGAUGUUCCGGGCUGCACACGUGCUACAAUGAUUANNGCAGUGAGCAUCUCAUUUUUACACACCGCAUGCGCGAGUCCAUUUAUUCACCUUCGGGUGUUUUAAAUGUGUACCUCUGCGCGCGGUAAAGCCUGCUUCGAAAGUAAGUGGGUAAUCAAUUAGAAGUAAUGAUUUCCUUUUUUAGCACACAUAUAUACGGCGUCUAUGCCCGGGUUACCUUGUUGUAKCUUUUGUGUGUAUAAAUGUUUUUUCCGUAUGUGCGAUUGUCAAUUCAUGGUGGGGACAGACCAUUGUUAAUUGUUGGUCUCGGUCUUAACUAGGAAUGCCUUGUACGGGUCUUUGGUUCAACAAACCACCCGGAAUACGUCCCUGCCCUUUGUACACACCGCCCGUCGCUCUUACCGAUGGACUUCUCUGUGAGUUUGAGGGACUGGGAACGCAGGAAUUUAUUUCUGCACACCUAUGGAAACUUAAACGAACAGUGUGGUCUAAAGGAAAGAGAAGUCGUAACA